rnacentral:rRNA from 1 species
UACGUAGGGUGCAAGCGUUAAUCGGAAUUACUGGGCGUAAAGCGUGCGCAGGCGGUUUUGUAAGUCUGUCGUGAAAUCCCCGGGCUCAACCUGGGAAUUGCGAUGGAGACUGCAAGGCUAGAAUCUGGCAGAGGGGGGUAGAAUUCCACGUGUGAGCAGUGAAAUGCGUGAGAGAUGUGGAGGAACACCGAUGGCGAAGGCAGCCCCCUGGGUCAAGAUUGGACGCUCAUGCACGAAAGCGUGGGGAGCAAACAGGAU